GGAGGAAUAUUGGUCAAUGGGCGAGAGCCUGAACCAGCCAAGUAGCGUGCAGGAUGACGGCCCUAUGGGUUGUAAACUGCUUUUAUGUGGGGAUAAAGUGCGUGACGUGUCAUGCAUUGCAGGUACCACAUGAAUAAGGACCGGCUAAUUCCGUGCCAGCAGCCGCGGUAAUACGGAAGGUCCGGGCGUUAUCCGGAUUUAUUGGGUUUAAAGGGAGCGUAGGCUGUCUAUUAAGCGUGUUGUGAAAUUUACCGGCUCAACCGGUGGCUUGCAGCGCGAACUGGUCGACUUGAGUAUGCAGGAAGUAGGCGGAAUUCAUGGUGUAGCGGUGAAAUGCUUAGAUAUCAUGACGAACUCCGAUUGCGCAGGCAGCUUACUGUAGCAUAACUGACGCUGAUGCUCGAAAGUGCGGGUAUCAAACAGG
rnacentral:rRNA from 1 species